UCAUAGAAGCAGUGAUGACGCAACAGAAGAACCUGCUUCAACAUGGGUAUGUGACGUCACAGAGGAUCUUUACAUUGCUUCCAGAAUUUUUGCGCUAAGAAGAUUAAAAGACCAAGAGAAAACGAAAGCGCAAGACGAAGAACAAAGACGAAGGCGCCAAUAUAAGGAUGCUGGUUUGAGGUGUUUGUAAGUUUAAGUGUGUAUAGGCCUAAUAUAGGGUGUACGCGCGAAGAAAGAGGAUCAAAGACGAAACCCUCAGACGAAGAACAAAGACGAAGGCGCCAAUAUAAGGAUGCUGGUUUGAGGUGUUUGUAGGUUUAAGUGUGUAUAGGCCUAAUAUAGGGUGUACGCGCGAAGAAAGAAGAUCAAAGACGAAGACGCCGCUAAGGGAUGUCGGUUUCAGGUGGUUUAGGUUUAGUGUUUAAGUAUGAAUGUGUUUGUAUGUGUUAUAGGCGGUGCACUCUUACAGUGUUGCCAGCUACAUUUGCUGGACCUAAUCUUGCCAGCUAAUGCAAAUGAAUUGUUGCAACAAUCUUACUUGAUAAAGAAUGGCAUCUACUGUAGUGUUCAUUUCAUUAAAGUGUUUUACCUGUCGGGACUUGAAUCUUACAGCGGUUUUGUAUUGUCUCUGUUAGCUUUGCGAGAACUCUUGUCUUGGUACACAUAUACUCGAGUAAUAUCAACGCGCAUUAUAAUAUUUACACUUAACUUUUAG